rnacentral:rRNA from 1 species
UACGUAUGGUGCAAGCGUUAUCCGGAUUUACUGGGUGUAAAGGGAGCGUAGACGGCUGUGCAAGUCUGAAGUGAAAGGCCGGGGCCCAACCCCGGGAGUGCUUUGGAAACUGUGCGGCUAGAGUGUCGGAGAGGCAAGUGGAAUUCCCAGUGUAGCGGUGAAAUGCGUAGAUAUCACGAAGAACUCCGAUUGCGAAGGCAGCUCACUGGACUGUUGACUGACACUGAGGCUCGAAAGUGUGGGUAUCAAACAGG